UGGCGGAACCUAUGUGCGGAAGGGAUAAGUGCUGAAAGCAUCUAAGCAUGAAGCCCCCCUCAAGAUGAGAUUUCUCUUUCUUUGAAGUAAGACCCCUGAAAGAUGAUCAGGUUGAUAGGUUCGAGGUGGAAGUAUGGUGACAUAUGGAGCUGACGAAUACUAAUCGGUCGAGGACUUAACCAA
rnacentral:ncRNA from 1 species